AAACCGUGGUUGGGGCACUUGCGGAGGAGGCCUUUGAAACGAGCAAACGCCUCGUAGAGGGGCUCGUCGUCGCCUUGCAUGAACUGGAAGAUCUCACUUUUGAGCUU